rnacentral:rRNA from 1 species
CGGAGGGUGCGAGCGUUGUCCGGAAUCACUGGGCGUAAAGGGCGCGUAGGCGGUCUGCUAAGCGUGCGGUGAAAGCCUGGGGCUCAACCCCAGGUCUGCCGUGCGAACUGGUGGACUUGAGCACUGUAGAGGCAGGUGGAAUUCCGGGUGUAGCGGUGGAAUGCGUAGAGAUCCGGAAGAACACCGGUGGCGAAGGCGGCCUGCUGGGCAGUUGCUGACGCUAAAGCGCGACAGCGUGGGGAGCAAACAGGAUUAGAUACCCUGGUAGUCCACGCCGUAAACGAUGGGAACUAGGUGCUUGGGGGAGCGACCCCCUGAGUGCCGGCGCUAACGCAUUAAGUUCCCCGCCUGGGGAGUACGGCCGCAAGGCUG